CCCUUAGAUGUCCUGGGCCGCACGCGCGCUACACUGAUGCAUGCAACGAGUUUAUAACCUUGGCCUGAAAGGUCUGGGUAAUCUUUUGAACGUGCAUCGUGAUAGGGAUAGAUUAUUGCAAUUGUUAAUCUUGAACGAGGAAUUCCUAGUAAACGCGAGUCAUCAGCUCGCAUUGAUUACGUCCCUGCCCUUUGUACACACCGCCCGUCGCACCUACCGAUUGAAUGGUUCGGUGAAGAUCUCGGACUUCGAUAUUUAUUCUUUAUUGAGUUUAUAUUGUGGGAAGUUAUCUAAACCUCAUCAUUUGGAGGAAGGUGAAGUCGUAACA
rnacentral:rRNA from 1 species